CCUACGGGUGGCUGCAGUCGAGAAUCAUUCACAAUGGGGGAAACCCUGAUGGUGCGACGCCGCGUGGGGGAAUGAAGGUCUUCGGAUUGUAAACCCCUGUCAUGUGGGAGCAAAUUAAAAAGAUAGUACCACAAGAGGAAGAGACGGCUAACUCUGUGCCAGCAGCCGCGGUAAUACAGAGGUCUCAAGCGUUGUUCGGAAUCACUGGGCGUAAAGCGUGCGUAGGCUGUUUCGUAAGUCGUGUGUGAAAGGCGCGGGCUCAACCCGCGGACGGCACAUGAUACUGCGAGACUAGAGUAAGGGAGGGGAAACCGGAAUUCUCGGUGUAGGAGUGAAAUGCGUAGAUAUCGAGAGGAACACUCGUGGCGAAGGCGAGUUCCUGGACAUUAACUGACGCUGAGGCACGAAGGCCAGGGGAGCGAAAGGGAUUAGAUACCCCGGUAGUC
rnacentral:rRNA from 1 species